rnacentral:rRNA from 1 species
UCCCAAAGCCAUCACCCUGCAGCCGAAGACUGGUUCCUCACUGAAGCUAAGCAGGGCUAUGCCUGGUCAGUACCUGGAUGCAAGACCACAUGAGAAAACUAGGUUGCUGUUUAAA